rnacentral:misc_RNA from 1 species
GAAGUCGUUACUCCAACCCUCUGGGAGGAGGACGCCGAAGGUGGGGCUAAUGACUGGGGUGAAGUCGUAACAAGGUAGCCGUACCGGAAGGUGCGGCUGGAUCACCUCCUAACAGGGAGACAACAAAAUGUAAAUAUUAAUUUUGCCACCUUAGGUCGAUCGGUAUCUCAGAUUCUUAUUAUUUAAGAAUUUCAGUUUCUAAGUUUUUUCUAGGUCACACCCAUCACUUUUUCCUGGGCCAUUAGCUCAGGUGGUUAGAGCGCACCCCUGAUAAGGGUGAGGUCCCUGGUUCAAGUCCAGGAUGGCCCAUAUCUCUAUGUUGGGGGCAUAGCUCAGUUGGUAGAGCGCCUGCUUUGCAAGCAGGAUGUCAGCGGUUCGAGUCCGCUUACCUCCACUGAAUACCACCUCUUACAUAUAGUUGAAGUGGGAAAUUGUUUUGAGUCGUGUCCUAAUUUGCUCUGAGCGAAUCUGGCUUCCUAUUUUAUCCAAGAAAUAAGAUGCUGGACUCAUUGAAUUUUUUUUCAUUGUUUUCAGAGAACCUUGACAACUGCAUAGAUUAUUUUUAAAGACAAUAAGCAUCUUUAAUGAUGCAGAUUUAUUAUUUGUGCGAAUGCAUUAAAUAACAAUUCUAUUAAGCUGAUGCUUCAAUUAUUGAAGUUAUUGGUCAAGCUACAAAGGGCUCACGGAGGAUACCUAGGCACACAGAGGCGAUGAA